GAUGAACGCUGGCGGCGUGCCUAAUACAUGCAAGUCGAGCGAACAGACGAGGAGCUUGCUCCUCUGACGUUAGCGGCGGACGGGUGAGUAACACGUGGAUAACCUACCUAUAAGACUGGGAUAGCUCCGGGAAACCGGAGCUAAUACCGGAUAAUAUAUUGAACCGCAUGGUUCAAUAGUGAAAGACGGUUUUGCUGUCACUUAUAGAUGGAUCCGCGCCGCAUUAGCUAGUUGGUAAGGUAACGGCUUACCAAGGCGACGAUGCGUAGCCGACCUGAGAGGGUGAUCGGCCACACUGGAACUGAGACACGGUCCAGACUCCUACGGGAGGCAGCAGUAGGGAAUCUUCCGCAAUGGGCGAAAGCCUGACGGAGCAACGCCGCGUGAGUGAUGAAGGUCUUCGGAUCGUAAAACUCUGUUAUUAGGGAAGAACAAAUGUGUAAGUAACUAUGCACGUCUUGACGGUACCUAAUCAGAAAGCCACGGCUAACUACGUG
rnacentral:rRNA from 1 species